rnacentral:lncRNA from 1 species
CUCGGAUGACUUCCGGUGGCGGCUUGCGGGCCGUCGUGCGGGCUUUGUCGGCUGCUUGCGGGGUCGAGGGCUGGGCGGCCUGGCUACGGCGUCGGGCGCGCGCCGUCCUCUCGCCGCCGGGCGCCGGGUGAGUGGCGUGUUGCGGGCUCGCGGCCGGGCGGGGUCCGGCCCAGCCAUGGCGGGCCGGUCUCCCGGGGCCGCGGCGGCGGCGGCGGCGCCCAAGCCGGCCGUCUUGUCCCCCCCGAGCUUCCUGCGUAAUGCCAGGCGCGUUCCCCGCGCUCCGCGAGGCCCGCCGAGGUGCCACCCGGCCUCUAGGCCGCUCCGAGAUGGGCUGCCCAGGCGUUUGCGGGUGUAGGUGCUAGCGUCGCUGCUUUGUGCCUCUGACCCUGUCUCCCUCCCUGCGGCCUCCGCUGGAGAUGCAUCGCCGGUACCUCUGUGCUGCUGGGGUUAGAGGCGGAGGUGGAAGCUUGGUCUGAGUCAGCUGCAAGAAACCCCACAUGAGGACAGGUGGUUGGCUAUGCUGUCUCCAUUUUCCUGGAAACUUCCUUUUCUCUUAGAAGUCUGUGAGCCCCAGUGGUGUCUCUGCUGAUGCCAGGCACGUUUUAUCCUCUUUACACACUGGCUGCACCAUGAUCCAAGGGUCCUCAGGGCCCGAGUGUGUGCCUGCGGUUCCCCAGAGUAUUAAUGUCUUAUGUCUACCUAGGAUCUGAGAAAUGAGUCUUCAGGCAAUACCGUGCUCUCCCUAUUCACAGAGAGGAGGCCUUUUUUCCCUGUCAUUCCGGUGACAUUACAUCACUUCUUUCACAGUUGUCAUAACCAGGGCAUUCAUCUUAUGGAAGGUGCUGGGAGGGAUUUGACAAGUCAUCACCUGUGCUGGCCUCUCCUGGAGUUCUGGGAUGGAUUGCUGCUUCUGGAACAGCCAGCAGGUGAUAAGGAGAGAGGGCAGAGCUGGGAAAUCAGUAGGACACUUAUUAGCCCAGCUGAAGAUGGAAGACCCCGAGCUCAGGGAAAGACACAGAACAGUGUGGUGUCAUUGAAACAGUUCAGGAAGCUGUGGGUGCUGCUUGGGCUGGUGGACAGUGCUGGUGAAAGAACACUGGGUUUGUUGGGAAAGGGAGACUUUUUUUCUGUUUUCCUUGGGAGAACCCUGAGAGCAACUGCUAGGAGCAGGAAACAGUGGCCUUACAGUGAAGAGGGAGAAGAGGAGCCAGAGGGAGCAGCUAGCAACUGGUUCUGCUUCUCUUUGAGCUUGAACAAGUCAGUUCCUUGAAUCCCUUGGAAGGUUCUGCAGAGAACAUGCAAAAUAAGUGCACCUUGCCUGCCCACUGGCACACACUUGGGGCCUCCACUGCUGCAGCAUGUGCACUGCCAGGGCCGAAGCUUAGCAAACCAUCCUGCUCUUUUUCUGUGGGCCUCAAGCGGUAAAUUACUGAGAACCAAAGCUGGAAUGCCCCUUUACCAGUGCAGAUGUGAAGGCUGAGCUUCUAGUGCCAUAAGGAACACCCCAGUAUACCCCAGAGUCACAGUCACUGCUGCUGAUACACAGCAUCACUGUGCAUUUAUACCAUUCCUGUGAUGCUUCUUCCAGUAGAUUCCAUGUUUUGUAACAGAAAAAGGUCAUGUUGUUUCAGAAACCUGGCAUAGUUUUACUAUUAUUUAUUUCACUCAAGUUUCUUUAAAGGAAAAAAGUAUUGAUUUAAUUUUACUUAUAUUCACAGAAGAAAAAGGAGCUAAGUAGAAACUUAAAAUUGUUGAUUUUGAAAUAUAUGUUUAUUUAAAGCAAGGUAUAUUCUAUUUAAGAACUUCCUAUGAAGUUAAAAAAAAAUAUAUGAAAACCUAUGUCAGGCACAUGGUUUUAAACUGUGUUCUUGUAGACACACAGAAGAUUGUUGCCAGAUGUGUUGUCACUUUAAACUAGCAGUUAGGUCAGGUGUAAUGGCAGCCUGCCUAUAAUUCCAGUGACUCAGAGGCAGGAGGAUCAUAAACUUGAGGCCAGACUCAGCACAGACCCUGUCUCAAAAUUAAAAAUAAAUAAACAAAAAACUGGGCAUGGUGGUAUACACUGGAUGUAAUCCCAGUGGCUCUGGAGGCUGAGGCAGGAGGAUUACGAGCCAGCCUCAGCAAUGGUGAGGUUCUAAGCAAUUUAGUAAGACCCUGUCUGUAAAUAAAAUACAAAAUAGAGUUGGAUAGGGCUGGGGAUGUGGCUCAGUGGUCAAGUGUCCCUGUGUUCAAUCCCCAGUACUGGAAAAAAAAAAAAAAAAAAGCCUGGUGUGGUGGUGCAGGACUGUAAUCUCAGUGGCUCAGGAGGCUGAGGCAAGAGAAUCUCAAGUUCAGAACCAGCCUCAGCAAAAGCAAGGUGCCAAGCAACUCAAACUCAGUCAGACCCUGUCUCUAAAUAAAAUAUAAAAUAGGGCUGGGGAUAUGGCUCAGUGGUCAAGUGCCCCUGAGUUCAAUCCCUGGUACCAAAAUAAAUAAAUAAGUGAAAAGGGUUGGGGAUGUAGCUCAGUGGUAGAGUCCCUGGGUUCAAUCCCAAGUACACGGGGGAAAAAAAAUCAAUGUAUUACUGAUUAGAACAGCCAAGAAACCACAUUCCUACUCCUAAUUCAUUCCCUCAUUUUCCUGGUACUGGGGAUUGAACUGAGGGAUACUCUACCACUUAACUGCACCCACUGCCCCUUCUUAUUUAAUAUUUUGAGACAGGGUUUUGCUAAUUGAUGAGGUCAUAAUACAAAUCCUAGCUGAUAUCUCAGCAAAAUAUCUGUAAAAGUGACAUCACACUUAGGAAAGAAAACAGUCUCCAUGAGGAAAUGGGUGUGGAGGCAGACAGACUGGGAUUUAAGCCUUAGCUGCCCUUGUUGGCUUGAUACCUUGGAUUCUAGCCUUAGCUGCCCUUGUUGGCUUGGUACCUUGGAUUCUAGCCUUAGCUGCCCUUGUUGGCUUGGUACCGUGGGUGACUUUUUUCUUAUUCUGUUUCCUCUGUGAAUAGUGGAGUAAAUGGUGCCCUCUGAGGGUUGCAUGAGGUGAUGCCAGUCCAGUGCUCAGCACUGCGUGGCCAGAGCAUGAGGGCACAAUGCAUAGAACCUUCCUUUCCUGGGUCCUGAAGCAGUUGAGGCACAAGAGUGAGGCACACAGAGCACAAAAAGUCACCUUACUAGUCAGUGACCAGGAGACUGAAUGCCAGUUAGAUCUGUUGCCAGACUUCCCUGUUUAAAACUCGUGGCAUGGAGGAGCAGAGCAGAACACAUGCCCUGGGAACCGCUGGCUCAGGAAGGGUGGAAGAGGUGGGCUGAAGGCCUGGUCGCUGUCCCAGUUCUGUUUUGCAGACUCGUCUACCUGCUUGGGGCAGAAUGCUGGCUCUGACAUAGUGGGGGUAGAAGAGCCCUGAAAGUUUUUGAGUAGGAGAUUGACAGUGAUUCGUGCUUUUAAAGACUCCUUCUGCUACUGUAUAGAAGAUAGAAAAGAAGAAAUAUGGAGUUAGGAGGUUGUUGCACUUGUGUGGUGAGAAGUGGUGAUGGAGGAUGGCAUUUGACAUUUGAGACACUGUCAGGUGCCUUCAGCAGUGUGAAGGCCUGGCCUGCAGGUCUGCUGAUGGGUUGGACUUGGGAUGUCAGUGGAAGAGCAGGGAGUCCGUAUUGCAGUCUGGUCUGAACAGAUGAAGUAAUGUGGCCUCGCUACAGAACGGGCAGAUUGGAAGAGCAACCUCUGUUCUGAAGUUUGACCCAUUAGUUUGAGAAGCUGAGCGCAUCCACGUGCAGGCAUCAGGUUGGGAGCUGUCAGGUGCGGGAGCGGGGAGAGAGCCAGGCUGUAGGUAGAAGUGCGUGUCGUCUUCAAUGGAUGGGUCUGUCUCCUCAGAGGCUGUGCCCGCCCCUCACUUGAGUGGAGAUGGAGAGGAGAUCUGAGCACUGAGCUUAGUGUAUGGGAGGGUUGCAGAUCGUCAGAGGACACCAGGAGGGAGUUAUGGUAAGAAAGGGAUAGUCGGGAGAGGUUGUCCAAGAAGCCCAUUGACAGGGUGACCUCCAGAGGGGCAAGUCAGUGGCUGGCAGGUAUGGACAGGGAUUGAGUUGCGUGAGCAUCCAUGGCUGGGCCCACUGAGCUGACAUGGUGGGCUGCGAGGGUGAGAGUGCUGGAGUGAGUUCAGUGAGAAGAAAACAUGGAGAAAUGAGCACGGUGACCUGUGUUGCUGCAGGGGAGAGCAUGGGUGGAGCUGGAGGAGAAUAGAGAUAGGAAGUUGGGGGUAUUUUUUGGUGGUUGUUUAUGUGGUACUAUGGAUUGAACCCUUAUGUGCUUUACCACUGAGCUACAUCCCAGACUUUUUUACUUUUUAUUUUGCAACAGGAUCUCACUGAGUGGCCUGGGUUGGCCUCAAACUUGAGACCCUCUUUUCUCAACCUUCUAAGUGUCUGGGAUUAUAGCUGUGUACCACCAUAUCCCACCUGUUUUUAUUCUUUUUUGGUAUCGGGGAUUGAACUCAGGAGCACUUACCGCUGAGCCAUAUCCCCAGCCCUUUUUAAUAUUUUUAUUUAGAGACAGGUUCUCACUGAGUGGUUUAGUACCUCACAAUUGCAGAGGCUGGCUUUGAACUCAUGAUCCUCCUGCCUCAGCCUCCUGAGCCACUGGGAUUACAGGCGUGCACAACCGUGCCACCACAGCGUCUCACUGUGCUGCCCAGGCUGGUCCCAGACUCCUGGGCUCAAGUGAUCCUCCUGCUUCAGUCUUCCCAGUGGGUAGAAGUAUAGGCACAUGACAAAGGUUUUUAGGUGGGUGGAAACACUGUGUUGCUGUAUCCUGGUGGGAAUGGUGGGCUGGAGGGAUCAUGGGAUUAGAUUGCAGAGAGGAAGUGAAUUAUGACUGGGGGAACUCCAGUUGGGUCAAGGACAACUUCACAGAGCAAGAGGUAGGUGGGGGAAGUGGACAUUCUGUCCCACUGCUCAUCUUUUCUUAUUGAAGAGGAGAAGCCAGGUUAUCAUCUAAAGGACAGAAGGGAGCGAUGGACAUGAUUUUAGAGGAAGCACAAGGGAGUGUAGAGCAUUCUGGCAGCUCUCGGUCCCCAGGCAGUACGAGGACACCCACAGGUCAGCAGGCAAGCUAAAUGUGACCAGAGCCGGGUCCCACACCAGCUGGUAGGUGUGAAAGGGCAGGGGAAUUGGGAUUAUAUGAAGAGGCUGACUGUACAGGCAUCCCUAGGUUCUGGAGAUGCCCAAACGGGCGGAUAUACUUAGUUCCUGUGUGUAAUAUCGUAUUUGCUGUAGCCUAUGCAUAACCUCCAAAUACUUUAAAUUACUUCAUGUUAUUUAUACUUAACACAUGCAAAUAGUUAUUCUAUAUUUUUUGAGGGAAUAAUGCAAGAAAAAUGUCUGCAUAUGUUCCAUACACAAUUUUACAUUUUGAAUACGUGUGAUAUGAGGUUGGUUGGAGUGUGGAUGCGAAUCUCAGGAUGAACGGGCAGCUGUGUGAAGUGAUGAGAACGAUCGGGCAGACCAGGGCAGGAAGCAGGAGCCGUUUCAAGCUGCCAUGGAUCUAGUGCUACAGACCUAGGUGGUAAAAUCACAGAAAUACAGGACUGGAAAAUACUAGUCCUGACUGGACUCCUGGCUUCACAUCACCACAGGUGAGGACGCGGUAGCUGUUGCUAGUGUAGUGACUGUACGGGAGGGAGUGUCACGUGGCUGCAGUACCGUGAGCCUUGGGUCCUUACUGGGUGAGGACAGAAAGCCGCACGGGAAGGAAAGAGAGACAGUGAAGAGAAGGCCGGGUUGAUACCUUUAAUAGUUCAGGAAUAUACGUCUUGACUUUUGACUAGAGUUCCAGCCAUAUUCCUACCCUCUGCGACCCACCCAGAGCACACCAAGGGUCACCAGGGGUCCUCACCACAGAACCCCCUGUCCUGGAGUUGGACGUGUCAGAGGUGGACCUACAAAGAAGCCUUUCUACAUGGAGGUGGCUGCUGGGUGAGAUGAGCACACAUAGUGGAGGAGGGUUGGGAGUGUGGGCAGAGGAAACUCUCCCUCUCCCACUUGCAGGGUCUGAGCUGAGGCUUGCACCUGCUUCAGCACCUUCCUGUUAACCAAGGGAAAGAUGAUCUUUUUCUGUCGUUUCAGAUUCUGCAUAGGAGCUGGUAACAAGAAGGUUGACUUUGAAACUUGAAUUCCUGAGGAUGAAAAUUCACAUAAGAUGAUGUCAGACAAACUGACAGUGAUGGAGCCCCCUGCCCCUGAAUCUGGGGAAGUCCAGGAAGCCAGAUUAGGGCAGCUAUUGAGAAACCCAGAAGGACAGAGCCUAGAGAGUCCUCCCUCUCAGGAGGGGGACUUCAGGCAGGUGACAGUGACCCACUGGAAAAUCCAAACAGGAGAGACAGCCCAGGUGUGCGUUAAGUCAGGAAGAGACACUGUUCUGAACUCAAACAUUCUUAUACUUCAGAGGGAGCUCAUAGAAGGGGAGGCACAUCCUUGCAAUAUUUGUGGCAAAAGCUUCCCUUUUAAUUCAGACCUAAUUAGACAUCAGAUUUCUCAUACUGGGGAGAAGUCUUACACAUGGGAUCACUGUGGGAAAGGCUCUGGGCAGACCCCACAGCUCCCUGAGCAUCAGCGAGUGCACGUGGGAGAAAAACCUUUCAAGUGUGCUCAGUGUGGGAAAGCCUUCUGUCACAGCUCCGACUUGCUCCGGCACCAGAGGGUUCACACCAGAGAGAGGCCCUUUGAGUGCAAAGAGUGUGGGAAAGGCUUCAGUCAGAGCUCCUUACUCAUUCGCCAUCAGAGAAUACACACAGGAGAGAGGCCCUAUGAGUGCAACGAGUGUGGGAAGUCCUUCAUCAGGAGCUCGAGCCUCAUUCGGCACUACCAGGUGCACACUGAAGUGAGGCAGUACGAGUGCAGAGACUGUGGGAAGGCCUUCCGCCAUCGCUCGGACCUCGUUGAGCAUCAGAGGAUUCACACUGGAGAGAGGCCCUUUGAGUGCAGUGAGUGUGGGAAAGCCUUUAUUCGGAGUUCAAAACUUAUUCAGCACCAGAGAAUUCAUACUGGAGAACGGCCGUAUGUGUGCAAUGAGUGUGGGAAGCGUUUCAGCCAGACAUCCAACUUCACUCAGCAUCAGAGAAUCCACACUGGGGAGAAACUCUAUGAGUGUAACGAGUGUGGGAAGGCCUUCUUUCUGAGUUCAUACCUUAUCCGACACCAGAAAAUCCACACUGGUGAGCGGGUAUAUGAAUGUAAAGAGUGUGGGAAGGCUUUUCUGCAGAAAGCCCACCUCACAGAACAUCAGAAGAUCCACACUGGGGACAGACCUUUUGAAUGCAAAGACUGUGGGAAAGCCUUCAUCCAGAGCUCCAAGCUGCUGCUGCACCAGAUUGUCCACACUGGAGAGAAGCCCUAUGUGUGCAGCUUCUGUGGGAAGGGCUUCAUCCAGAGGUCAAACUUCCUUCAGCACCAGAAGAUGCAUACGGAGGAGAAGCUCUACGAGUAUAGUCAGCAUGGGAAGGGCUGUGCCCCGCCCCCAGACUUUGUGCACCAGGAGGGCCUUUCUCUGGAUGAGGCCCCCAUGCAUUUGGCUAAGAGAGCCACAGUACAGGGGGAUUGUGCAGAUAGUGUAUAGAAGAUCACUCUGGCUCUGGGAGUGGUGUUUGGUAAUGGGUGGACUUAGCAUUCGUGUGACUUGUGAGAUUUGGAUGUGUAGAGUUUCCUUGAUCUAGACAGCCUGGUUUUGGAGUGGACUGCCACCAGGGCAGGAGAACUGAAGAACCUGGUGGCUGGCCCUGAGCUGGGGUGGGCUAGGGGUGGGAAGGUCGUCUCAAAAAAAGGUAGAGAUUUUCCUCACAAUCAUAACCCACACUUGAGCUAAAUCGUUUAAGUGUAGAGCUGAGGGUCUAAUCCUGUUACUCAAGAGAGUGUUACCUAUCAGAAAGACUAAAGAGGGAGACUCACAGAACCAAGCCCUGCCCCGUCCUAAGGUCUCUGCUCCUUGACCACUCAGCUUCUGGCCAGGCAGGUGAAACAUGCUAUUUCCCAUGUUCUCCACGAUGUUUCCGCCUCUGUUCUUUGAAGGGUCUGCCUUGCCCUGCUGAUUCCUGAUCACGGUGCGAGGCUCCUCGGGCGUCACGUUAAGCCGAGUUUCCCUGGUGCUUAGCCAGGCAGGCUCCAUGCUUCUCUGGCUCAGUGCUCCCUCUGCUACUGUACUUUGAUGUACCAGAAUUAUGAAUUCUUUCCCCUCACACUCAGUUCCUUUAUGUGUCCCCAGUGUCUGGCACAUGGCAAUAAAAAGCACCCCCAGAUCUGGGUGUAAUAGCCAUUGACUUUUAUUGCUACUUUUAAUGUUAGCAUAUUCUUUGUUCAUCUGGCACCAGUGUGAUCUGUUGUGCUGGAGGUGUCUUCUCUUGUGUCCUAGCAGCUCCAAGAUUAAUUUGUCUUCUGUCAUUUGUGACAUUUGAAAAAAAUAUAUUGAGGUCUAAAGAGAAUAAUCCUAGAUAAUGGAAAAACGAGUAAGGCACUAUCCAUCCCAAAGCCACUGAGUGCAGUGGGGAGGACAGAUCUGGUGUAUGACUGGUGUGUCGAAAUAGAAGAGCGUUCUGGGUCCUGUAGGACCUUAGGUAAGAAGGAGAGUGUUAUUGUCACAUGGAUCUGGAAGGCUUCACAGAGGAGGGAUAUUUUAGCUGCUCCAGAGAGGGCAGUGGGUGCUUGUCAGCUAGAGGAGGAGAAAUGACCUGGGGGAGGGAAUCCCAGGGGACAGGCAGACAGGAUUGCCAUGUGGUUGGGCUGUCAGAACCGGGAAGUUCAGUCCAUGGUGAACAGCAGCUGGCUCUGAGGUGGUACAGAACAACUCUCGCCCAUAAGGACACAGUUUGAGUUCUUAACAUGUUCUAGUGGCCCUGGAAGCCUUGAAGGGGCGGGCCAUUCUAAACAGACUGUACACAGAGUCCACGUCCUGGAAAAUGCCAUCACUUGAUGUUGCAGACAGUCAAGAAAGGGGCAUUACUGGCCACUUUAACCAGGACAAGGAAAUCCCCACACCUGUGUAACCACCCCCACAAUUAAAAAGACACCUUUUAUCCAAAAGUUUCCACUUGCCCUCGCCAGCCAGCUCCAUCCCAGCCCCAGUAACCACUGUGUCAGUGAAGGUUAGUGUUGCUUGUCCUAGAGCCCCACCUACAUGAGUGCAGCCGGUGACGUGUGGAAACGGAAGUGUGUUCACUUCUGUUCCUAGUACAUACUCUUGUCCCUUAGGCUCAACAGGUUGUGUUUUAGUGGUCCUCUUUGUCAAGUGGUGUUUCACUGCAUGGAAAAUUUGUCAUUUGUUUAUUUGUCCAUCUAUUGGAAAUUUGAGUUUCCACUUUGGGCUCUUAACAAUAAAAUUGCUGGGAAUGUAGCUCAGUGGUGGAGUGCUUGCCUAGCAUGCUCAAGGUCUGGGGAUCAUCCCCAGUACCAGGGCAGGUGGAGGGAGAAUAAAACUGCUAUGAACAUUUGUGUAAAUGUAUUUAUUUGCACAUGGGGUUUUCUUUUGGGUGAAUACCUACAGCUUCUAUUGGCAAGUUUUAAGAUAAUUGUUCAUUCAGGCCCUGUAACAAAACACCCUGAGCUGG